rnacentral:lncRNA from 1 species
UCAAUUGAAGUAAAAACCAAAAUCAAAGGAAUGAUUUACAAACGAAUAAAGUUAUUAAACAAAAUCAAUGAUUAAAAUAAAGUGCGUGAAAACACACGAGAAUUAAAAAUGCAAAUGCCCCAAGUCCCCAAAACGCGGUGUUUAAACGCGAACUAAUUUGAAACAAUACUCAACUUUCAGUGACAAAAUAAGAAUAAGAAAAUUGGAGUAGGGCCCAAUCAUAGGACUGCGCACAAGAAAAGGACUAAUCGUGCAGAUAUCCCCUUUAAGCAAAACAUGCGGUUCCUCAUGGAUACCGGAUCGAGUUGAACCGAGUCGCCUUAUACGGCAUCGUUUUGGAGCCAUUGAAACAGGCCCUAAACGGUGCCGUUUCAAAUACAAUAUAAAACUAAAAAUAAACCCUAAAAUUAAAGCACUUUGUCAUUUAAAAGCAAAAAUAAAAAAACUAAACACCCCUUUUUACUCUCAUAAGAGCCUUGUUCAAGGGCUUGGCAUUCUCAACCACCAAGAAUCAAAAAGAAAGGAUUCUCUGUCAAAUUUGAUUUUGACAAAGGAGAGACUUCGACGACAUAUUAACAAUUCAGGUACCCCUCUUUUAUCCCUUUCUUUUUAUUUUCUUCUUUGCAAAUGGAUUUUUUUUAAAAAAACAAAAAAAACAAGAGAAGAACUAAAAGAAAAAAAAAACCACGAGAUGUUGAGUCUAAUCAAAAAAAGAGAAUCACCUUUCCGAAAAAAUUUUCUUUGCACUAG